GGCGCCAGAAAGUCAACUGGGAGACGCCACCUAGAUCGAAUCAAACUCCUCGAUACGUGGCUCCACUGAACCACCUGUUCUUCUCCUGUGGGGGGGGUGUGAGACAGCAAGGGUGAGGUCACACAUGUUCAUCGCUCAACAAGUUGUGGGGAAUAAUGUGGCACGAACUCACCAAAGGUGGAAGCUCAUGUUAUGUGUAAGGCUGAUCAACAAUAGGGGUUUAAAGCUGAGCAUUGCUUUUAAAUAGUUGGUCAAAAUUUUAUUAGCAGUUACUAAAUAUAAGUAAAUACCAAACCUUAAAUAAAGUAAUAGAACAAAAUUAAUAAUAAUCCCAUGCAUAUGCAAAUGACAAAUUGAGUUUAGGUUCCAUAAUUUAAUCAUCAGAGAGUCCUGAGCUGCUCAUGACCGUGAGCUCGGCUAGUAUACCAGUUUUACACUCUGCAGAGAUUGUACCCUUUACCCACAAGUCGUGUAUCCCAUGUCGCCAGGGUUAGCUAGACCCUUAGACACUACCGAGGUGAAUGGCUAGGGAUCCACUACGAGGCCUUUACAAAGUUCCACUAGCUUCCGAAAACCCGCUACAGUUUAUGGGAAGAGCACUUGCAAGAAUCCCCCGUCUGAUCGCCAUCGCAGCAAAAUCAACCCGAGAACCUCCUUGCAUGCAAUCCCCUAUUGCCCUUGCCCCUUUCGGGUAAGAUAGUCUUCCACUAGCUUUCCUAGUUAGUUGGCCAAGGGCGUCCCAUUAAACCCUUGUGGUGGCACGUGUUUCUCAAGUUAAGCUCCAUGUUCCAAUUAACAUUAAUGAUCUUGACAUGAACAUAAAUAGAAUAAUAAAAGAAUUGGAACAUGUAUAUAACAAAAUAUUAUCCCAAAACCAUGUAAAGCAAUAGCAAAACUACCCAAGUGAUUCAGGGAUAACAAGGUAAAAUGGAAUAACAAUCUAGGGUGACCUAUCGGGUCCCAUCAAAAUUAAGCCUAUGCAUGGUAAAUUAUUAUAAAGAACAUUAUUGGGUAACAAAAGUGAAACAAGGGCACAACUUGCCUUCAAUGAGCUCCUGCUCAGCUACUUCUAUCUGCUGGUCACCAGGAUCCACAGUCAACGGCUCUUCUACUCGCCAAUACAAACAAGCACAGUAUAUAGAGAAAAUUAACAUCACACCAAACAUAUAAACAAAAUACACAGUAAUAAUCUACACAUUAAAAUAAAAUCCUAGGAACAGGAAUCAUAAUUUUUUUGGAGUUAUAGAUUUUAAGAUAUGAAUUUCCUAAGGUUUUAUGUGGUUUAAAUAAGAUUAAGUGAGAAAUUAUUUUUCUUACUGUUUUCAUGUCAAAACAGAGACUCUAAGUGAUAGAGAAUAAUAUUACAAAAAAUUAGAAAGUGGAAUGGAUCAAUUUGGACCAAGUAUGGAUUUUCUAUGAAUUCAUCAAGUUCUAGUAAUUAUUUUCAUAUUAAAAUCUAUUUUCCAAUUUAUUUAUUCAAUUUCAAGCUGCACUGGACUGGGCCUCAUUUUCUGGAAAACUCAGGGGUCACAACGCAAAGUUCCCUAGACUCAGCGAACAGUGAGCGGGACGGCGGGUUGAUUAGCUAAUUUAUCAGGGGCUCUUAUGCUAUUCUGUCAUGGCGAAAGGGUAUCGUGAUCUCAGGGCCGUCCGAUCCGGAAUCUAGGGCUGAGAUUAAAUCCGAUCGCGACCGAAGCGGUACGCAAUCAUGACCCUCGGAUCAAAGAUCCACGGCCAGAAAUCCCUCUCUUACCCUAAACUGCUCUAUCCCUUGGAUCCAAAAAUCACGGUCCAGAUCAAAUCCUUGAAACGGCAUGUUGGAUCCUCUAAUCUACGCCGUCAAUCACCAGAUCAAUGCCCCAGUACCUUCGCCAGAGUCUGCUAUCCGCGCACAGCGACGCUGUCGUUGCCUCACAGCGAGAGUUCGUCGGCGACAAGCAAUCGGUCCAAUCCCCGCACUAAAUUCUAAGAGGUUUGUAGCUACACGUGAACAACUACACGGCGAAAACGAUGAAGGCACUGCAUACCGUGUUCCGCCUCGGUGGAGGUCCCGCCACGGCGCAGCGCGGGUGAACGGCAAUGGAGUUGCUCCGGCGAGCAAUUCAGGUAGCUCUGGUAGAAAUUCCCAGGUGGCACGGCCACGACCUCUUUCCCUCAGGCCCGAGGAAGUCGCUGGCACGGUACCGAAGGCUUGGAUGACGACGGUGCUGAGCAUCCACGCGGCGGCGCAGAUUUGCUUUGCCCCGACGAGCACCCAUACGCGCGGGCGAUUCUCCCCAGCCUUCCGCCUUGGUCCAUAAGCCGACGUGCCCGCAUCCCUUGGCGAGGUAUCGCUCUCACUCUCGGUCUCUCUUUGACGAUAGCUUGGUGGGGGCGCAUGGCUUCGCCCGAGGUGGCCGACGAGCGUCGAGUGGAGGGGAUGACUGCGGUGCCCUCCCCCUGGUUCGAGUUCUAUGGCUAUGGCGGUCCUCGGCUUUUUCUGCGUCGAGUGGUGGUGUAUCUGGAUCGAUAGGCGAGGGAAACACAGUCGGCUGGCCUUGUAGCCAUCGGCGAGCGGCAAUCACGGAGGGGAUUUCGGUCCUAAGCUUUGUAACAGCUAACGAGAUAAAUCCGGCCAGCCCCCGAGUCCACGCCCAAGGAAUCCGGUC
rnacentral:lncRNA from 1 species